UCGGGAAUUUUGGGCAAUGGGCGAAAGCCUGACCCAGCAACGCCGCGUGAAGGAUGAAGUAUUUCGGUAUGUAAACUUCGUAAGAAUAGGAAGAAUAAAUGACGGUACUAUUUGUAAGGUCCGGCUAACUACGUGCCAGCAGCCGCGGUAAUACGUAGGGACCAAGCGUUGUUCGGAUUUACUGGGCGUAAAGGGCGCGUAGGCGGCGUGGUAAGUCAUCUGUGAAAUCUCCGAGCUUAACUCGGAACGGUCAGAUGAUACUGCUGUGCUAGAGUACAGAAGGGGCAAUCGGAAUUCUUGGUGUAGCGGUGAAAUGCGUAGAUAUCAAGAGGAACACCUGAGGUGAAGACGGGUUGCUGGGCUGAUACUGACGCUGAGGCGCGAAAGCUAGGGUAGCAAACGGGAUUAGAUACCCCUGUAGUCCCUGAGCGGGCUGGCAAGGCGCAU
rnacentral:rRNA from 1 species